rnacentral:lncRNA from 1 species
UAUCUAUUAUAGCCUUCAAAAUUUCAAAAAUAUCUAACAUAUUCCUGUUGACAAAAAUGCCCUUACUAAUUUUUAAAAAGAGCAGUGCUUCUAUACUUGUUAUUUUUUUAUACCGUUCAUCCAUUUUUAUUCAACGGCUUAGAUUAAAUUUUUUAAAAAUUGUAACUUGCAAUAGUAAGUCCAUUUGAAAGAGCUACCGGUCAUUAGGUACCCCAAAAAAAGGUAUUUUGGUCUUUUAAUAUAUGGAUAAUUUAGUAAUUUACCUCCACUAUAUUAUCAUAUCUCUAUUAUUUCUUUGUUUUCUUUUUCUCUCUCUAUCAUUCCUCUUCAUCCAUAGUAGAGAUGUAAAGGGAUAGAAUUUGGAGCGAAUUUUCAAAAAUCCUAAUCCAAACUCGAUCCCAAAUCCAACAAAUUUUACAAAAUCAUAUUCACACCCGUACCUGACUAAAAAUCCGAAACUCGAACCCUAGCCCAAACCCGAAAAUCCAAACCUGAAGUAUUUAUUUCUCUUUACAAUAUUAUAAAAUAUAUUAAAUUAAAUCUAAAUUUUUAAAAUACAUAUUCAAAUAUAAAAUCAAAUAUUUAUAUAUAUUAUAUAUAACGUAGAAUAAAUUCGGGUUCUGGUCGGUUUCGGGUUCGGAUCAGAUACGAUCAAAAUUUAUACCCAAAUUCAAAUCCGUUGGAUUUUCUUUUUUUAUAUCCAUAUCCAAAACUAUAUCUAUUUAGCAUAGGUAAAUUCACUGCAUUUGCUUUAGAGUUUGGGUUCGGAUUCAAAUAAAAUUAUGGGUAUCCAUACCCUUUGACAUCUUAUCAUUUCAUAUUCGUAAUCCACAGAUAUUUUAUUAAAAACUAUUGCAACAUAUUAAAUAUGUUAAAUUUAAAUUUUUUUUU